rnacentral:rRNA from 1 species
UGGGUCCGAGUUGUAAUUUGUAGAGGAUGCUUCGAGCGCGGGGGCCGGCCUAAGUCCGUUGGAACACGGCGUCAGAGAGGGUGAGAAUCCCGUCCGCGGCCGGCGCCCAAGCCCAACCGUAGCUCCUUCGACGAGUCGAGUUGUUUGGGAAUGCAGCUCUAAAUGGGUGGUAAAUUCCAUCUAAGGCUAAAUACCGGCCAAAGACCGAUAGCGCACAAGUAGAGUGAUCGAAAGAUGAAAAGCACUUUGGAAAGAGAGUCAAACAGUACGUGAAAUUGUUAAAAGGGAAGCGCUCGCGACCAGACCUGCCCGCGGGCGAUCAGCCCCCGUUCUCGGGGGUGCACUCGCCCGCGAUCAGGCCAGCAUCGGUUCGGGCGGCCGGAUAAAGGCCGCGGGAACGUAACUCCCCCCGGGGAGUAUUAUAGCCCGCGGCGGCAUGCGGCCAGCCAGGACCGAGGACCGCGCUUCGGCUUGGAUGCUGGCGUAAUGGU